CCCGAGGCGUCCUCCCUGGGCUAAGCGCUGGGGAUGCCAGAAAAGCCAGCAAAGGCUUCAUGACUCUAAACCAAGAAGAAACUGUAGUUGUCCAUGCUGCACAGUUGUCCUACAAUGCCAAGGAUGUUGCAUGCAAAAGACAGUGAUUGAUCAACAUUUGUAAUUAGCUGAGAUGAAGAUUAAAAAUGAAAUAAGAGAAACUGAAGAAACAUCUUAAAAUAUUAUCCGUUCUUGUCUUUAGAAACCUGUAUGUAGAGACAGAAGGACACCAUUGAAGAUGGGCAGCUGAAGAGUGAUAUGCUUUGUCACUGAAAAUGUUGCAUAAAGGCAUCUAAGAAGAGGCACAACCCUUGGAGCAUGCACAACAGGAUUUCUUUCACACGUGUGCAGUUGCCUGUCCCAGCCCAUGGUUCAGUGUUUGGCCUCCCCUUCUCAGCAAGUGUUCUCUGUUCCUGCCUGUGGUACAUCUGGCAGCAUCAGGCUGGGCACUUGCAGCCAGCAUCCAGGUGCACUUCAAUUGUGUGCUUUGGCAGGAAAGCACAAUUGUGCUUUUUUUUUUUUUUUUUUUUUUUUUUUUAGGUGAGUGGCUGCACCUGCGAGGGAGCUUUUGUGUCUGUAGUAGGUGGAAUGUGAGAUUACAGGGAUGAUGAAUACCUUUUUUUGCAAUGGAUAGAAUGUUUUGCUAUGGUUCACUGAUAGUCAAUGAGCUUUUGUAAUUAAAUGUACUUCGACUGAAUGGAGUUUCUAUUAAAGUAGCACUGAGCAAUGCCUUCUGUAGCCAUAGAGACCAGCUCUUGGGUGAGAACAGCAGGAUGGGCAAUAACCCGUACAAUUCAGCCCUGGUAAGUCAUGCCAACUUUAAGGAUGUGUUGAAAAUGCUUUUAUAGUCGGUAUCACCUCUGCAGGGGAGGUGAAUAAUGUAGCUUAGUAGAGG